rnacentral:rRNA from 1 species
UACAGAGGGUGCGAACGUUGUUCGGAUUUACUGGGCGUAAAGCGCGUGUAGGCGGUCGUGCAAGUCGGGUGUGAAAGCCCCAGGCUCAACCUGGGAAGUGCAUUCGAUACUGCGCGACUGGAGUCCCGGAGAGGAUGGUGGAAUUCUCGGUGUAGAGGUGAAAUUCGUAGAUAUCGAGAGGAACACCGGUGGCGAAGGCGGCCAUCUGGACGGUGACUGACGCUGAGACGCGAAAAGCGUGGGGAGCAAACAGG